rnacentral:lncRNA from 1 species
AUCCAGCUGUAACUUUGGGAUUGGCUGUUGGUGGAAACAUCACCAUCUUGACUGGCUUCUUCUACUGGAUUGCCCAAUUGCUUGGCUCCACAGUUGCUUGCCUCCUCCUCAAAUACGUUACUAAUGGAUUGGUAUGUACUGCUAUCAUUUUCAAUCCAUAUUAUAUGUCUUUUUAUAUUUUUCACAACUUCAAUAAAAAAACAACUUUACCUAAGACCAGCCUAAGCGGUCGUAUAGCCGUCCAUCCAACCCUUUAAAUUAAAAAGAGCCGGCAGAUGCAUAAUAUAUGUAUAUUUCAUGUAGAAUAUUUGUAUAAUUAGUGUAUAUUGUACGUAUAUCGACUAGAAAAAAUAAAUAAUGAAUAUGACUGUUUAUUUGUAAUUGGAGUUGGGCCUCAUAUGUUGGUUUUUGGCAGGCUGUUCCAACCCAUGGAGUUGCUGCUGGGCUCAAUGGAUUACAAGGAGUGGUGAUGGAGAUAAUCAUAACCUUUGCACUGGUCUACACUGUUUAUGCAACAGCAGCAGACCCUAAAAAGGGCUCACUUGGAACCAUUGCACCCAUUGCAAUUGGGUUCAUUGUUGGGGCCAACAUUUUGGCAGCUGGUCCAUUCAGUGGUGGGUCAAUGAACCCAGCUCGAUCAUUUGGGCCAGCUGUGGUUGCAGGAGACUUUUCUCAAAACUGGAUCUAUUGGGCCGGCCCACUCAUUGGUGGAGGAUUAGCUGGGUUUAUUUAUGGAGAUGUCUUUAUUGGAUGCCACACCCCACUUCCAACCUCAGAAGACUAUGCUUAAAACUUAAAAGAAGACAAGUCUGUCUUCAAUGUUUCUUUGUGUGUUUUCAAAUGCAAUGUUGAUUUUUAAUUUAAGCUUUGUAUAUUAUGCUAUGCAACAAGUUUGUUUCCAAUGAAAUAUCAUGUUUUGGUUUCUUUUGAAAGACUGAGGAUAUCUAAAGCCUAUGCAUGUGUACAUUCAUUUAGACAAAGCUAAAUAACUCUAAAAUAACAGUGGCCACACAAGAAAGAAACAACAACAACAUACCUAGUAUAGUUUCGCAGGUGCGGUUUGAGGAGGAUAGUGUGUACACAGACCUUACCCUCACCUGGCGAGGUAGAGAGGUUGUUUCCGAUAGAACCUGGCUCAAAAAAAAGGUGAAAAGGGAGAAAAGAGAAGAAGAAGAAGAAGAAGAAGAAGAAAGAGGAAGAAAGAGGAAGAAGAGGGAAACUA